rnacentral:lncRNA from 1 species
CCCACUCCGAGGGGAACACUGCAAUGUGCAUUGGGCCUCUCCACCUGCACGCUGAAGCUGUAUUGCUAUGUGGAGAACAGCCUUGUCCUCCUGGUCUGGAAGGUCAGGCAUGUGCCGGCUGCUUGAUGGAGGGGAUGAGAGCAGAGCAGCAGGCUGGAGGAGCUGCCUCACACCGUGCCACGUCCACCUGCCUUGAGCAAUAUCUCUGGGUUAGCCUUCUAAUGAGCAUGAAACUACCUCAGCAAGUCCAUGACCUACAAACGACCUGCAGUCAUCCCAGAAGCAGCGGUGCUGAACCACAUCACAAGUUAUUCUCCUUUUCCAACAACUUGUAGACCAGUGGGAAUAAGCACAGCACUUUUCCCCCAUAAUCCUUAGCAUCCAGUCUGGAGGCAAGCAGUCUCAAAAGGGUCCAAGGUUUCACUGCUUUCAUCUUGAGGCAACACAGAGCUACUUAAGAACGGCAUCUCUGUCUGACACAUUUAAUUCAUUUGAGAGGUCUAAUGCAAUUUCCUGG